AGCUAGAAGCAAGGACCAAAAUCUGACUCCCUUAGAGUGAGAGCCCUGAGAGGGCAGUAGCCCUCAUCUUCCUGGCUUGUCUUCUCGCCUGGCAAGCCAAUUGGAAGCCCUGAAUGAGUGGAGUGUGUGAUGAUUUGCUAAGAGAUGCUAUGAUGUAUGUGAAGUCGCUGCCAUCCCCAAAGAGUGCAUAAAACUGCUGCAAACCCUGGGCUGGGGCCUCUCAACAUGAUCAGUUGCUGUGUGCGUGCAGAGGACAGAGCUAGCUCGCAAUAAACACCUCUUUGCUGUUUA